UUACUAAAGAGAAGAAAAAUAGCAAAUAUCGAGAAUAUUAAUGGGCAGGACAUCAUAAACUUCUUUGAAUUAAUACAGAAACACUGGAGAAAUUGUUUGCAUUUGAAGUUGUUAUCCAUGUUAAGUGCAGUUUAAUGUCUUGGAGAAGACAUUCAGUCACAGGUCCAGAAGCUGAAGACAGCCAAAGUAAAGAGUGUUGUACUUUCUUCAUCCUUUCCUAGUGCCUACUCUGUAAUUGUCAAUUUGUCCAGCCACGUCUUCACCCAUAAUUUCUGUUUCCUUCUUUGAAGGAGGAUAAUAUGUCUCAGAUUUCAUUCAAGUGGCAACAAAUUCCCCUUCUCAUAGUAAAAUCUAAGAACUAACAAGACCAUAAGCCUUUAAUGAUCACAGGAAAAAGUUUGAGACAAAAUGCAGUCAUGGAGGAAAAGGGUUGAAAGUAGAGGAGGUGUGUAGACACCAUUACUGUUUUUCAAGAUAGGAAAAUGAGAUUGGCUGAUGGCAUUGAGAGGAGUAAAGUCCUUUGCUGUCGGCAGUGGGAAGCUGACACGUCAGUGGAAGCUGUGCUGCAAGAAACCCCUUGGCCUUGUCACCAAUUCAGAACUGUCACUUGUCUGAACUUUGGCAUUUGGUACUUGGGUGAUCAGUUUCUUAUUCAAGUAUCUAAUACAACAUUAUUUUCUAAUUAUGUUUUGUAAUGCUUUAUAGUUUGGCUCUAAGAUAUUAAGCAAACAGUAGGAGAAGCUAUUGCUUAAAGAGGGUUUCUCAAGAAUAGAAUCAUAAGAGUAGAAUAGUCUGGGACAGAAGGGACCUAUGGCAUUCCAAGUACGUUUCAUUGUGCUCACACUGUGGUGGAGCAAAUUGGAAGCCCUCACCAACAAACACACUUUCUCUCAGGCAUUGUUAUGCCAUCCUAUAGUUUAUCAUUAAUAAACCUGAUCGUUAAGCCUGAUCUUAUCACUUUUCCCUUUCAAACCUAACUUUAAGCUCUUGCAGUCAGCCCCACUAAACUGUGAGUGAAAUUUCUUUUCCCCUUUUGAAAAAGGUGAAUCCAGCCAGGCCAUGUGGGCCUGGUGUCACAUAAGUUAUCCCAUGGUCAAAAAAAAUCCCAAAUUCUGCUGGUGCCACCAGCCUCAAAGCCAGGUAUCAGUAAGCUGGGUCCAUCUGUUUCUUUAAAUGCUACUCCUUACAGAAGGAGGGAUAGAAGAGUGCUCCUCAUCCCUUUACUGAUCUAUCCAAAGCCCCGAAGUCUAUUGGUUACUCUUGGGCUUUGUUACUACCCACAUGAAAAAAAGCAAGAGCAGAUAGUAUCCUGAGGGCUGUACCAGCCUAGGACAUUUCCUGUUAAUAUUUUCGACCCAAGCCUUAAGGACCAGACCUGUGGGUCUGGUCAUCAGAUCCAGCCCUCUGCUCCCCUCAGAAGGGAAUCACCUAUGACUGUAAGUAACACACACCUUUUUUGUUUCAUGAAAGCAAUCAUAAUGUAAAGUCUGUAAAUUCUAAUCUAAGUAAUUCUAAUCUAAGUGUAAGUGAUUCUAAUCUCUGUAAUUCUAAUCUAAGUGAUCAUAAUGUAAAGUCUGACCUGACUGCUCUAGCAUAGAUAGAUUGUCAUCUGCCUUACUGGGUUCUACCAAUUCCAAAGCCUUCUCCCUGUUGUAUAAGGGUACCUGUGGUAACCUAAUCUCCCUCCACUGCAUUGUCAGAUGAUGUUACACAGUUGUCUCAAGAGUAUUGCAUUGAAACAUAUUGGACCACUGAGAUUAGUGUAUACAUUAACAAAAUGCCUCUCACACUUUAACAUUGUGACAAAAAAAAAGUGUGAGAUUUCUGUAAUGUUAAUUUCUUUCAAGCCCAGGAAUUUGUUUUCCAACAACUUGAAGUGGUGAGCAGGGAUGCUCCCAAUCAUGGCAUUAAUGCUGAUUUGUGACUGCAGUGUGUUACUGAGUUGCUACCUAUGAGAUACUGUUCAAAGUUAGAUGAAAUUAGAAAGAUCAAGUGACUGGGGUGUAGAGACUAUUACUUCCCUGGAAAUAAUCUAAUUAGCACAGCUCACAGAUGGCACAUGUCUGGCUGCUGAUCUGUUAGCUGCUCGUUACUUGAUUCUAGAGGAGGAGUUCAUUUGUUGGCAUUUGCUACCGUUAAUCUGUCUUUAGAGAUUUUCUGUAGUUAGCAAAUACUUGUUAAGAGCUAAAGUUAAUUUAUAAGCAUUUCUUAAACCUUUAAUUUCACAUGGUGCAAUGCAAAAAUAACUUUCCCUUUUCACUUUUUCUUUGCUAAUCUCUAAGAUCACUUUUUAGUUCUAAGUUUAAAGUUGACUUUGUAUUAUGAGGAUUUUUUCUCACCUUCACACAUAGUUGUCAUUUGUUUAAGUGGCACUGUUCCAAAGGUGCUUUCACAGAACAUUUUAAAGGAGAUUUUUCUCUGCACAGAUUUGAAUUAACUAACUUGGGGGGGGGGAGCUGCCGCACAACUUCCUGAAAAAUUCCUCCAGAGGAAGUAGAAGUCUUGAAAACAAUUUUUAGUCUCAAAUACAGAAAGCUACCAAGUGCAUACAAAAGUUCUAAGCUGAUAAUUAGUAGAGUAAAUAUAAGCACACAUUCACAGAGUUGAAGAUCUUGCACAGGUAUAAAAGUGAUCCAUUAACUACAGGAACUACCUCUAAUAUUUAAUAUACAAUAAAGUGCUUUCAUAUUUUUAACAAUGGAAUGUUUUUUACUGCUCAUGUCAUCACACUGUAUGUAUCCUAAAACAUUGGCUGACAUUGCUCACUUUUUCUCCAGGAGGCUUUAUGCUAAAUUUGAGUAUUGUGUUAGUUUGCUGGCAUUUUCCUGCAAAUAAUAAGCUUUUCAUAGUUCGUCUUCAGAGUUUGAGCUAAUCAUGAGUUUAAAAAAUUAAGAUGAGUACAGGAAUCACCCUUUGAUAUGUUGUUGUCUUGUGAAUUGAGGAUGAUUGAAAUAUGGAUCUGGGCAUACAUAAAUACUAAGACAGAGAGUAGGAAAAAAUUCUCUUCUGGGUACUUCUCUGCAGAUGUACCAGCUGCACCAAUGUGUGGCUAAUUCAGAAUGACUUCAGGAAGCAAAAUGAACUUUUCCAUAGAUACUUUCUGACAAGUGGCUCAUCUUUUCAGAUUAUUGGCAAAGAACCACAUUAAGCCAUGCUGUCACUGAUCCGUUCUUCAUCGGCCUAAUUCCUUUGCUCAGCAGGAAAACCUCCAAAUUCUCCUGGAAAUACCCUGCUGAGGUCACCUCUGAUACUAACGAAUACAAACAACAGGUUCUGAAAGCAGACUACUGUGAGACUCACAGUAACCACUGAAACCGCUGUGUGCCAGACUUCUCUCAAUUGCCAGGUUACAAAUCUAGUUCUGUGUUCAACAAGAAGGAAGAUUUCUGUUUCAUUGCACGUAGU